CCUACGGGAGACAGCAGUGAGGAAUAUUGGUCAAUGGGCGUAAGCCUGAACCAGCCAAGUCGCGUGAGGGUUGAAGGUUCUAUGGGUCGUAAACCUCUUUUAUAAGGGAAUAAAGUGUGGGACGUGUCCUGUUUUGUAUGUACCUUAUGAAUAAGGAUCGGCUAACUCCGUGCCAGCAGCCGCGGUAAUACGGAGGAUCCGAGCGUUAUCCGGAUUUAUUGGGUUUAAAGGGUGCGUAGGCGGCCUUUUAAGUCAGCGGUGAAAGUCUGUGGCUCAACCAUAGAAUUGCCGUUGAAACUGGGAGGCUUGAGUAUGUUUGAGGCAGGCGGAAUGCGUGGUGUAGCGGUGAAAGGCUUAGAUAUCACGCAGAACCCCGAUUGCGAAGGCAGCCUGCCAAGCCAUGACUGACGCUGAUGCACGAAAGCGUGGGGAUCAAACAGGAUUAGAUACACGAGUAGUC
rnacentral:rRNA from 1 species